GAGUGGGAGGCGGCGGCGCCGGUGGUUGCAGCUGGGCUGAGGCGCAAGGCGGCGCACUCGACGACUGACUGGAGCAGCGGUAAAGGCGGGGAUGGAGAGCGAAGGAUAUAAGUCAGAGUACAGCUGAAAAUGUCUACUGAACGGACUUCUUGGACAAGCCUGUCCACCAUUCAGAAAAUAGCCUUGGGCCUUGGGAUCCCAGCCAGUGCAACAAUUGCCUAUAUCCUAUACCGCAGGUAUAGGGAAAGCAGAGAAGAGCGGCUGACAUUUGUUGGGGAAGAUGACAUUGAGAUAGAGAUGCGGGUUCCCCAGGAGGCUGUGAAACUCAUCAUUGGCCGGCAAGGAGCCAAUAUUAAACAGCUGCGGAAACAGACAGGUGCUCGGAUUGAUGUGGACACAGAGGAUGUAGGCGAUGAGCGAGUGCUGCUUAUCAGUGGUUUUCCUGUUCAGGUGUGCAAGGCCAAAGCAGCAAUCCAUCAGAUCCUGACAGAGAAUACCCCAGUGUCUGAGCAGCUUUCAGUUCCCCAGAGAUCUGUGGGCAGAAUCAUAGGUACCACUGGAUGGCUUCCUCUACUGCUUCCUUUAUUCUUUACCUUUGCCCCUCUUUCACACCUUCCCAGGGUUUUUUCUGACCUAGUUCCCCUUCACCAUGUGAAGGGAAAAAAGGGACAUUGAGACCAGAGGUUUACUGUUUGUAGAACUGGUGGUAAAACUAAACCUGUUUCCUCAAGAAGUUGUAUGAUCUGAACCUUACAAA
rnacentral:sRNA from 1 species